AAGCCGAUCAGCUGAUGAAACUGUGAACAACGUCUAGCUGUUGGGCAGCGAAAUUAUCCUUAUAAGAGAGAUAUAUCUAUACACAACGACAACCCAUCAGAGUCUGCAGAGCGUCUGCUCCAGGAGCGUUUCAGGAAGGCCCUGAGUGAACGUUUCAGUGGGGAUAUCCCAGAAGAGCACCUGGCCAGUAACUCUUUCUUCCCUGAUGAAUACUUCACCUGCUCCAGUAUCUGUCUCAGCUGUGGGUCCUGGCAGAUUGAGCUGAUUGAGAGAAUGCCAAAGAGUGUGCAAAGCUGUCAUCAAGACAAAGGGUAUGUGAUAGAGUGUCCCAACUGUGGGGUGAUCUACAGAAGCAGGCAGUACUGGUACGGGAACCAGGACCCAGUGGACACAGUGGUCAGGACUGAAAUAGAACACGUCUGGCCUGGGGUAAGAACAAGAACAAGAGGAGCAUUGGUUCAUCAAAUCUCCCCAUUCUUGCUCAAUUUUGCAUGUCUUCUGAAACAACUGUAUACACUGUAUGUAUUCACACAUCAAGUCUUCUCUUGAGUUGGGCCUGGGGAUGGAACAACUGGUGAACAUCUGAGAUUUUGGUUGUUUGCAGGGGAAGGGUGGAGUGUGUGUGUCCGUGUGUGUCCGUCCCCCACAUCUGUUGCUAUGGGGUAAUGAUGUUAGGGACAAUACAGGAUGAGUCACAAUAAUUGCUUGCCAAAAAUAAUUAUUUUUGUAAUGCCGAUCCUGGUUGUAUGUAACAAUCCUUCAAAUGAAAUGGCAACAUUUCAUUACAUAUUAUUCCUUAAUUGUGGAAAUAAAUUAAGAUAUGUACGAUUUAUGUACUUACAGAAAACGUUUGACCUCUGUCAUUGCCAACAAAGGGUAUAUAACAAAGUAUUGAGAUAAACUUUUGUUAUUGACCAAAUACUUA